rnacentral:rRNA from 1 species
AUACGGAGGAUCCAAGCGUUGUCCGGAUUUAUUGGGUUUAAAGGGUGCGUAGGCGGACUAAUAAGUCAGUGGUGAAAGCCUAUAGCUUAACUAUAGAAUUGCCAUUGAAACUGUUAGUCUUGAGUUUGGUCGAGGUGGAUGGAAUGUAUCAUGUAGCGGUGAAAUGCUUAGAUAUGAUACAGAACACCAAUUGCGAAGGCAGUUCACUAGGCCAAAACUGACGCUGAGGCACGAAAGCAUGGGGAUCGAACAGGAUUAGAAACCCUAGUAGUCC